GCCUACGGGAGGCAGCAGCCGCGGUAAUACGAAGGAUGCAAGCGUUAUCCGGAAUUAUUGGGUUUAAAGGGUGCGUAGGCGGACUAAUAAGUCAGUGGUGAAAGCCUGCAGCUUAACUGCAGAACUGCCAUUGAUACUGUUAGUCUUGAGUACAGUUGAGGUAGGCGGAAUGUGUCAUGUAGCGGUGAAAUGCUUAGAUAUGACACAGAACACCGAUUGCGAAGGCAGCUUGCUAAGCUGUAACUGACGCUGAGGCACGAAAGCGUGGGGAGCAAACAGGAUUAGAUACCCCUGUAGUCC
rnacentral:rRNA from 1 species